CAAAGUGCAGUCUACAAUUUUUUAUUCCAACAAAGCAACUCUAGAAGACAUAUCGGUGCUAUCUAAAACGUACUUAAUAUCUAAUGUAACUGUGAAAUAUACACCAUCUCAAUUUAGAGAAUCUCUUAGUAAAUUCCAAUGGACUAUUUUCGGAACAACCAGAAUAUAGGAAAUUCAAGAAGACAACAGUCACCUUCUAUCUUCUACAUAAGUAUUUACUCCUUUCCAUGAGUUAUAGGAAUUCAUGGAUUCAACUACAUUUGUUUCGUCUAAAGUCAAAGGUUGCACUCCACGAUUUGCAGCUAAAUCACCUUUAGCUUACAGCUUAUCACAAUUAUUCGGAUAAUAUCCCUCACGUCUACAAUAGAAGUAAAAUAAAUUACUGUUAUUCUUCGAUCUGCCCCUCCAUCGACCACUAUGAGAUACAAGAGCUUCUUCAUCCCUCGGUGUAGUUCCAACCAAAUGCUUCAACUUUUCCUUUGAGUGCAAAGCAUCAUAGACGUUGUCUAUAAUCAAAUUAUCCUGACUAUAUAAAAUGGUGUCCUGAAACAAUGCAUAAGAGCCAGUAGCAAAUAUAACAGGAUCAAUACAAGAUCCUUUUCAUCGUACUUAACCUCCAACGUUUCCAAAUAUGCGAUAAUUUCCUUGAACACGAAAAUAUAGUCUUCCAAUGACUCUCCUUUCGCCAUGCGAUGGGAAUACAGCUUCUGCUUUAGAGCCAGUUUACUGGUAAGACUCUUGGUCAUACAUAACUGCUCCAUUUUCAACCACAAAACAGCUCUUGUUUUCUCCUUCAAGACAUCCUGUAGAAUAUUGUUGGAUAGAUGAAGAUGAAUCAAUGAUUAAACCUUCCAAUCCCUCUGUUGUUUCUCCUCCGCUGUCCAAUUAGCUGGUAUCUUCUCAAAAUUCAUCAACACGUUAUCCAAAUCUAACUGUACCAAAAUAGCUCUCAUAUUUACUUGCUACAAAGAAGAUAUUGUAUUGCAAUCCAAUUGUGGAAUACCAUACUUCAAAGUAGCAAUAUUUGAAAAACCUCAACUAAUCCACAACAAAAACCAGGCUCUGAUACCAAUUGUUGGACCCAGAAGGAUUUUAGUGAAUUACAUUAAUGACGCGAUAUGAAGUAAUGAAGAUCGCAACGAGAAACAAGAUUUAAAGGUAAAGAAAUUAAUAAAGAGAGUUAAU
rnacentral:lncRNA from 1 species